AACGGCGGCUCGAGUGGUGGCCACUAUUACUAGGCUUAAAGCGUUCGUAGAUGGCUUGGUAAGUCUCUGGGGAAAUCUUCCGGCUCAACCGGAAAGCGUCUCAGGGAUACUGGCAGGCUAGGGACCGGAAGAGGUGAGAGGUACUCCAGGGGUAGGAGUGAAAUCCUGUAAUCCUUGGGGGACCACCUGUGGCGAAGGCGUCUCACCAGGACGGCUCCGAAAGUGAUGAACGAAAGAUGGGGGAGCAAGCCG
rnacentral:rRNA from 1 species